rnacentral:rRNA from 1 species
UACGUAGGGUGCGAGCGUUGUCCGGAAUUAUUGGGCGUAAAGAGCUCGUAGGCGGCCUGUCGCGUCUGCUGUGAAAUCCCGAGGCUCAACCUCGGGCUUGCAGUGGGUACGGGCAGGCUAGAGUGCGGUAGGGGAGAAUGGAACUCCUGGUGUAGCGGUGGAAUGCGCAGAUAUCAGGAAGAACACCGAUGGCGAAGGCAGUUCUCUGGGCCGUAACUGACGCUGAGGAGCGAAAGCGUGGGGAGCGAACAGG